rnacentral:rRNA from 1 species
UACGAAGGGGGCUAGCGUUGCUCGGAAUCACUGGGCGUAAAGGGCGCGUAGGCGGACUCUUAAGUCGGAGGUGAAAGCCCAGGGCUCAACCCUGGAAUUGCCUUCGAUACUGGGAGUCUUGAGUUCGGAAGAGGUUGGUGGAACUGCGAGUGUAGAGGUGAAAUUCGUAGAUAUUCGCAAGAACACCGGCGGCGAAGGCGGCCAACUGGUCCGAAACUGACGCUGAGGCGCGAAAGCGUGGGGAGCAAACAGG